rnacentral:rRNA from 1 species
AGGGAAAGUUGAAAAGCAAUUUGAAGAGAGAGUUCAACAGUACGUUAAACUGUUCAGGGGUCAACCUCAGAAAUCCGAAUGGUCGUAAGGGGAAAUUCAUUCGCGUUUCCAUUUUUAACGUGGAGUGGUUGGGUGACGGACGGCUUCGGUUUGUACGCACCUGCCGUUUCGCGAUUCGCGUCGAACCGUGCACUUAGUGACGUCGCGAUCCGUUGGGCGUCGGUCUAAGGCCCGCGGUGGAGCCCUGCUGUUAGUUUACUAACGGUAGGACCCGUGGUGUUUCCCGACCGGCUCGCUCGACGGUAUACAGAUGGCGCGGAGCCGCGACUCAGUUCGCGUUCGACCCGGGGCAAGCGCGUUCGUAGUUUCGGCGAUCGGACCUAGUGCCGGUCCUGGACUCGGAUGACUGUUGGCCUCGGAGUUCUCGAACAGACUCUGUGAAACGCCGAUCUGCGGCGCUAUAGCUUUGGGUACUUUCAGGACCCGUCUUGAAACACGGACCAAGGAGUCUAGCAUGUGCGCGAGUCAUUGGGACAUAACUAAACCUAAAGGCGCAAUAAAAGUAGGUAGUUGGAGCGUUUCGCUUGUGCCGUGCACUACCGGGGCGUCUCAUUCUCAUUGCGAGAAGAGGCGCACCAAGAGCGUACACGCUGGGACCCGAAAGAUGGUGAACUAUGCCUGCUCAGGAUGAAGUCAGGGGAAACGCUUAUGAAGGUCCGUAGCUAUUCUAACCUGCAAAUCGAUCGUUGGAACUGGGUAUAGGGGCGAAAGACUAAUCGAACCUUCUAGUACUUUAGUGA